AUUUGUCUGGUUAAUUCCGAUAACGAACGAGACCUUAGCCUGCUAACUAGAUUCUUCUAUACUAUAGAUGAUAUCUUCUUAGAGGGACUAUGUAAUACAAAUACAUGGAAGUUUGAGGCAAUAACAGGUCAGUGAUGCCCUUAUAUGUCCUGGGCUGCACGCGUGCUACACUGAUGCAUACAACAAGUGCCUAACCAGACAUGGUAUGGCAAUCUCGAAUAUGCAUCGUGAUGGGGAUAGAUCUUUGCAAUUAUAGAUCUUGAACGAGGAAUUCCUAGUAAGUGCAAGUCAUCAUCUUGCAUUGAUUAUGUCCCUGCCCUUUGUACACACCGCCCGUCGCUCCUACCGGUACCGGGUGAUCCGGUGAACCUUUUGGACUCUUUACUGGGAAAGAUAAGUAAACCAUAUCACCUAGAGGAAGGAGAAGUCGUAACAAGGUUUCCGUAGGUGAACCUGCRGAAGGAUCA
rnacentral:rRNA from 1 species